CUCUCAAAGAAGAGCCACACUACUUAGUUAUUAGUUACUACUACAUAACCUAUAAAACUGAUUACAUGAUGACUAAGAUCCUACUAAGCAGUGAGGCAUAUAAUCACCCACAAUUUAUGUACCUCCCCUUAGGUAACUAGCAUACAGACGCCAAUAGGUGGCAGUAAAUAGCAGUAUACGUGCAAACUAGAAAAACAAAUGCAAGUGGCAUGACUUUUGCAGUCAAAACAAUGUGUUAGAGAUAAGCAAUUUGCUUUUCUUCCCAUGAGAAUAUCCUAACACAAACACCAGCCAAUGUAGUAGCAUAAUUUAUAUCUAGUGCCAUUUAAUCAAUCUGUCACCCAUAAGAUGACAGAUCCCCUCCUUUCCCAGCCAGGUGAGGUUGUUUGGGGAUUUUUUUUU